CUACGGGCGGCCUGCAGUGAGGAAUAUUGCACAAUGGGGGGAACCCUGAUGCAGCAACGCCGCGUGGAGGAUGACGCAUUUCGGUGUGUAAACUCCUUUUAUAUGUCAAGAAAGUGACGGUAGCAUAUGAAUAAGCACCGGCUAACUCCGUGCCAGCAGCCGCGGUAAUACGGAGGGUGCAAGCGUUACUCGGAAUCACUGGGCGUAAAGGACGCGUAGGCGGGUUGGAAAGUCAGGUGUGAAAUCCUACAGCUUAACUGUAGAACUGCACUUGAAUCUUCUAAUCUAGAGUAUGGGAGGGGGAGAUGGAAUUAGUGGUGUAGGGGUAAAAUCCGUAGAUAUCACUAGGAAUACCUAAAGCGAAGGCGAUCUCCUGGAACAUUACUGACGCUAAGGCGUGAAAGCGUGGGGAGCAAACAGGAUUGGAUACCCCAGUAGUC
rnacentral:rRNA from 1 species